CUCAAAAGUGAAAUAAGAAUGCCGCAACUACUCUUUUUUUCUUCCUGGAAGCUGAACAGAAAACAGAGUAGCUUGAAAGCUAAGAAAAUGCAUUUAUUCCAGCUAAGACACUGAGCUCCCAAAAAGUCCAGAUCAGCUACAGACCUCAAACUUUUACCCAGAGGAAUGGUAUAUUGACCAUAGAAUGCAGACGCAGCCUGCAAACCACCUCCCAGGGACAGGUAUUGAAAUUUUGCUAUUAAAUUGACUCUUGUCAUUUGGAGAGGAGAAAAUCAAUGGAUUGCACAUCAAGAUGGUGAUUCAUUAAAGAAGGACCUUUCAAAGAUAGUUGCUGAACUGCAUUAGAACCCAUGGGCCUAGAGCCAGGGAUUACAGGGUCUGAAGCAAACAGUACUUCCUUAUUGCCACCAGCUGCCCACAGAGGAGUACCACCAAGAAGUACUGAGAUGUUAAGCCCUGCAGGAAGUCUCAACAUAAGGCACAUGAGCAACAGUCCUGAUUCUGUGAUUGGCUGGCACUCUCCAUAUAAACCAGGAAGUCACUUCUGGAAGUUGUGUGAGCAAUGCAGACCUCUGGUGUGCUUCUGCCUGAGAUGCCACUCCCUGCUGCGACUCGCCUGGAUACUUGACCUUGGCCCAGCCUCUGACCCUGAUCUUGGUUUACUAUCUUCAACUUAGGGCCAUUGCUGACGCUGGUGGAAGACCUUGGCCCAGCCUAACCCCUAUUCUCGCCUCAGGCUCUCAAGUAGGUAAUGGACUCUGACUCUGAGGUUUUGACCUGGCCAGUCCCUGGACUGCCCUUCAACUCUUCAGCCCAGACACUGAGCAUUUCACCCUGCACACAAGCCACCUAUGAUCCAGCCCUGGCUACUUGGCAAAAACAUGUUUUCUUUUUACCUAUUUUAAGAGAAGAAAUGAAUGAGAAAAUUAUUUCCUUCUUUU